GACGAACCGUGCGAACGUUGUUCGGAAUCACUGGGCUUAAAGGGCGCGUAGGCGGGCUCAAAAGUCAGGGGUGAAAUCCCACGGCUCAACCGUGGAAGUGCCUUUGAUACUGGCGAUCUUGAGUCCGGAAGAGGUGAGUGGAACUCCUAGUGUAGAGGUGGAAUUCGUAGAUAUUAGGAAGAACACCAGUGGCGAAGGCGGCUCACUGGUCCGGUACUGACGCUGAGGUGCGAAAGCGUGGGGAGCAAACAGG
rnacentral:rRNA from 1 species